rnacentral:misc_RNA from 1 species
GCUAUAAUAUCAUAUCCCAACUUAUUGGCUCAGUCUGUUGUCCUACUAUCUUUAGUUUCAAUAGCUUCACAUCUAAUCUAAGUGAAGCUACAACCAUUAAAUGUAUGCUAAACGUAAGGUGCUUAAACUCUUUUCUCCUUGCAUUGUUUCCUUCAUGAAAUUAAGCAUCAUGUACUUAGUUUUGAAUUAUUUAUUUUUAAGACUCAACCAGAUUAACAAGUAUAACUAGAAUUGUGUUGGAUUUCUUUUUCAAUCUCAACAUUACAGGACCAGAAGAACAAAAACAGAGAAAAGAAAGAGUCCCAUCCCCCUCCCUGAAUUUGUUGAAUAACAAUCAAGCAUAAGACACCAG